GCCCACUUAGCUCAGUCGGUAGAGCGGCUCCAUGGUAAGGAGUAGGUCGGCAGUUCGAUUCUGCCAGUGGGCU
rnacentral:tRNA from 1 species